GCCCACUUGGCGCAAUGGUCAAGCGCUUGGAGGGCUCCCUUUGGUCUCGAAAUCAAAGGGAAGCCGGUUGGUUCGAAUCCAGCAGUGAGCA